GCCUAUUACUGGCUAAGGUGGGACAUCGCUGCGGCGGAUUAGCUGAUCUGCAGUGUGACACGUCGGGCACAUGGGAGGAGGAAGGUGACCAGCGGCACUGGAGGAGUGGUGUAAGAAAAUAAAGCUGCAAGUCUUAAAUCUGGUGCCGGAUCAUCGUUUGUUCUUCUGCCUUGAAUAUCAGCACUUUGCCAAGUGUGGACCCGUGCACAGAAACUGGUGGAGAUAUUUUUGACAGUCAUAGAAACCAAAUCUGGACCAGUUGAUAAAAAAUGUCUGCAAUUAAGAAUCAGAAGACAUCCAGAUGCUCUGUCUCUAACACUUUGCCAUAUGCCACAAUACCGAACAGAAGGUCAAAACUACCGAGCACAUGGAGAGAAGAAUCUGUGAUUCCCUUUAGACUGUGACAUUUGAUAUCUUUUAUGAUUUUAACAUAUUGAUUGAGAGGUCAGGAUAAAGAAGAUUUUUCUAAACUUUAAAU